UGCGCCAUGGCGCAGUGGCUAACGCGCUAGGUUUUGAAAUUUUCAACCCGGGUUCGACUCCGGGUGGGGUCA